GGGUAACUGGUUUGGUGGAGAGGGGGCAUAUGAUGGACAUAAUAUACCUGGACUUCAGCAAGGCUUUUGACUCAGUCCCGCAUGACAUUCUGAUAGACUCUGCAUCCCAGAAGGGGUGGACUAAAUUGUGACAUGGCUGAGAUAUGAGAAGAGACCACCGUAGCACCGGAGCCACCAUCAGCAGACAGAGAGAGCUACUACACCAUGGCCAGAUACAAGAAGCUUCUCUAUCAUAAGCACUUGCCCAGCUGUUUUUCCAGGCAUUUUCUUCAGAGAAUUUCCUAAUACGUUCUUCAAUUUCUAAUGAGCUGACUAUGAUCUUUCCUUGCACAGAGAGAUCUGGAUCCUUGUCCAAAAGGAACUAAAGUGAGACCAAACUCAUAUCACACAGGAGCUACAAACUGCCAUCAGAAGAGAGCUACUUUCAAUCCCCAUCAACACAAGACGUAGUCAAAUUCUGCCAGAACCUUGAUCAAACCUUCCCAUAGUACCAUCCCCAAUGGUCUGCUCAUCCCAAACCCUGUUGAUUCCUGACAGCUCUGGGAUAGUCUUGGCUUCCCUGCCUGCCAGCUCCAAAGAAAGGAGGAACUGCUUCAGAACCUGCUUUCCCCCGAGAGGCACUUCAGUGGCAUGGCAACUAAUGAAACUUUCCUCCUUCAGUCAUAGAAAAAGGGAAACAGACCAUCUGCCACUUGACUGGGGAAUAGGGGUCAGGCUCGCCUGACAGAGAUCUGUGUUGGCAUCAAAAGGGGGAUUUGCUUCAAAAGUUCAGAAGAAUUUUCACAAGAAAGCUGAUGACUCUAUAACAUGGGGGCCCCAGGCAGCUGCCUUGUUACACCUGCGUCUAAUGUCAGACUCUCCUGUUUCUCUACGUAGUGAACACAGUGCAUGUGUGUUCAGUUUCCAUGUCCCCCUGCCACUUACCCACCUCGUAGUCUAGAACCCAGAAACGUCUUUUUGCUUCCAAGGAACUCCUCUGUACCAAGAAUUUUCACACUCGUCUGGACCACGGGACUCCCACGUCUGUGGAAUUUCACACGCUGCCAUCUAUCCCUGAUUUGUGUGUCGCUACAAGUGCUCCUGUUUUUACAGUCAAAAACAAAUGUGCAUCUAAGAUGUAGCUGUGAUCUAAGAAUACUAACGCACACAGUCUUUGAUGUUUUGCACAGCUACCAGUAUCUUCUGAUGUGCUACUGUGUCUUUCAGCCUUUAUUUACGACAUAUGAGAUUAAGCUAUUCUGAUUUUUAACCUAGGGGCUUUGUUCACUAAUGUUGCUAAGUUUGAGGGUAAUUAUAUAUGACACAAGGUGAUGUCCGGUUGCAUUAGCUUCACCGCACUACACUAUCAACAAAAAGGAGUUUCUUUGUUCAUUUUAAUGGCAACCCUUUGUUUUUAUGGCAAUUCUUAUGUAAUGUCAAGGCUUAUCAAUCAGCUUGGAAACACUGGGCCAGAUUUACACCUGGUGUAACUCGUCUAGUUUCAGUGCUAUCACAUCAGUAAGGAACUUUACCCACACUGUACAGCAAUAACCAGAAUCAAUAUUUACCAAGUUAUUUUCUUUUAUUUUCCAGCUAUUUUCUUUUUUGAGUAAAGGGAACUCCCUUGUGUUUCGGAUACAUAGGGUUUAUUAGAUGUAAGCAAAUUUUAAUGGUGGCCAGUGUAUGUAACUUUGGCCUUGAAGUUAAUACUUUGUAUUAUAUCACUAUACAAAAUUACAGGAAGAAAUUAUCAGCGAGGAAUGGUCUCAGAAGUUUCCACAGUAUGCAUCCGAUGAAGUGAGCUGUAGCUCACGAAAGCUUAUGCUCAAAUAAAUUGGUUAGUCUCUAAGGUGCCACAAGUACUCCUUUUCUUUUUGGUCUCA